AUGUCUUGAUGUUAAAUUUAUAUUAAGUCUAACCUGCUCAAUGAUUUAAUAUUAAAUAGCCGCAGUAUUUUGACUGUGCGAAGGUAGCAUAAUCAUUUGUCUUUUAAUUGGAGGCUUGUAUGAAGGGUUGAAUGAGGGAUUUCCUUUCUUUAUAUUAAUUAAAUUGAAUUUAAUUUUUAAGUUAAAAAGCUUAAAUUUAUUAGUGGGACGAGAAGACCCUAUAGAAUUUUAUUUUCAUUUUUAUUAAGGGUUUUUGGUUAUUUAUUGAUUUAAUAACGGUGAAAAUUUUGUUGGGGUGACAGUGAGAUUGAAUUAACUCUCAUAAGUUUUAAUUGUUUAUUUGCAUUUUAAGGAUCCUUAAUUUAGGAUAAUUAGAUUAAAUUACCUUAGGGAUAACAGCGUAAUUUUUCUGGAGAGUUCAUAUCGAUAGAAAAGUUUGCGACCUCGAUGUUGGAUUAAAAUUAGAUUUAAGUGCAGAAGCUUAAUUUCUAGGUCUGUUCGA
rnacentral:rRNA from 2 species